rnacentral:rRNA from 1 species
UACGUAGGUGGCAAGCGUUGUCCGGAAUCACUGGGCGUAAAGCGCGCGCAGGCGGCGAUCUACGUCUGGGGUGAAAGCCCGGAGCUCAACUCCGGGACUGCCUUGGAUACGGGAUCGCUUGAGGAUUGGAGAGGCAAGGGGAAUUCCACGUGUAGCGGUGAAAUGCGUAGAUAUCUGGAGGAACACCGGUGGCGAAGGCGGCGUCCUGGACCAAUACUGACACUGAAAAGCGAAAGCCAGGGGAGCAAACGGG